rnacentral:rRNA from 1 species
CCCUUAGAUGUUCUGGGCAGCACGCGCGCUACAAUGGUCUUCGCAAACGGAUGCAUUCUCGAAGGAGAAUGCCAAUCUUGGAAUCUAUGCCUUGGUCGGGACAGUUGCUUGCAAUUUUUCGACUCGAACCAGGAAUUCCUUGUAAUCGUGAUUCAUCACAUCACGAUGAAUACGUCCCUGCCCUUUGUACACACCGCCCGUCGCUCCUACCGAUCGAAGAGUCAGGUGAAUUGUUUUGAUCGAUAAGAUUUGACUAUGGUCAACUCUCGUUGUGAAAUUCUGUGAAUCUGACUGUUUAGAGGAAGGAAAAGUCGUAACA